UAACACGUAAAGAACCUGCCUCAUAGACGGGGACAACUAUUGGAAACGAUAGCUAAUACCGGAUAACAGCAUAAAUCGCAUGAUAUAUGUUUAAAAGUUGGUUUCGGCUAACACUAUGAGAUGGCUUUGCGGUGCAUCAGCUAGUUGGUGGGGUAAAGGCCUACCAAGGCGACGAUGCAUAGCCGACCUGAGAGGGUGAUCGGCCACACUGGGACUGAGACACGGCCCAG
rnacentral:rRNA from 1 species